rfam:Triticum aestivum genome assembly, contig: Triticum_aestivum_CS42_TGACv1_scaffold_423267_5BS
UUUGUACUCCCUCCAUCCCAAAAUGCUUGUCUUAAAUUUGUCUAAAUACGGAUGUAUCUAGUUACAUUUUAGUGUUAGAUACAUCCGUAUCUAAACAAAUGUAAGACAAGAAUUUUGGGACGGAGGGAAUACUAC